rnacentral:rRNA from 1 species
CUACGUGCCGGCAGCCGCGGUAAUACGGAGGGUGCGAGCGUUAAUCGGAAUAACUGGGCGUAAAGGGCACGCAGGCGGUGACUUAAGUGAGGUGUGAAAGCCCCGGGCUUAACCUGGGAAUUGCAUUUCAUACUGGGUCGCUAGAGUACUUUAGGGAGGGGUAGAAUUCCACGUGUAGCGGUGAAAUGCGUAGAGAUGUGGAGGAAUACCGAAGGCGAAGGCAGCCCCUUGGGAAUGUACUGACGCUCAUGUGCGAAAGCGUGGGGAGCAAACAGGAUUAGAUACCCUGGUAGYCCACGCUGUAAACGAUGUCGAUUUGGGGGUUGAACUUUAAGUUUGGCGCCCGUAGCUAACGUGAUAAAUCGACCGCCUGGGGAGUACGGCCGCAAGGUUAAAACUCAAAUGAAUUGACGGGGGCCCGCACAAGCGGUGGAGCAUGUGGUUUAAUUCGAUGCAACGCGAAGAACCUUACCUACUCUUGACAUCCAGAGAACAUUC